rnacentral:lncRNA from 1 species
AUGUCUCCAUUGCAGGGCCCACCCGGUGUCCCUGGGCUGCCGGGACAAGUGGUGAGUGUGUUGCCCCCCACAUCUGCCUGCCAUCCUCUGGCUGUGUGGGUGCUUGGGGCUGCCUGGGGGGGCUGUAGGACCCCCACACCCCACCCCAACUCUCGCUGCCUGCAGGGGGAGAGCGGGAAGCCAGGCGUGCCGGGCAGGGAUGGAGUGCCAGGGAAGGAUGGUGAGGCAGGAGUGCCUGGGAAGAUGGGCUUACCGGGACCUGUGGGGCCUGCUGGUCCCAAGGGAGAGCCAGGGGAUGCUGGAGCCCCAGGGCAGGCCAUCGCUGGGCCCCCUGGAGCCAAGGGAGAGAAGGUAAGGAGCUAGGGUGUGAGGGCUGGGUGUCUGCUGGGCACUGGCAUCCACAGUGGACACAUCUGAGCACCCAUGUGUCCCCUGCAGGGCGAGCCGGCGCUGCUGGAGGGUGUGCUGCUGGGAGAGCCCGUGAGUCACCCCCAUAAACCCA